UACGUAGGCAGCGAGCGUUGUUCGGAGUUACUGGGCGUAAAGCGUGCGUAGGCGGUGGUCCAAGUCUGGUGUGAAAUCUCCCGGCUCAACUGGGAGGGUGCGCCGGAAACUGGGCCGCUGGAGUACGGGAGAGGCAAGCGGAAUUCCAGGUGUAGCGGUGAAAUGCGUAGAUAUCUGGAGGAACACCCGUGGUGCAGACGGCUUGCUGGACCGUGACUGACGCUGAGGCACGAAAGCGCGGGUAGCAAACAGG
rnacentral:rRNA from 1 species